UACAGAGGGUGCGAGCGUUGCCCGGAUUUAUUGGGCGGAAAGGGCGCGUAGGCGGCCACGCACGUCCGUUGUGAAAUCGCCCGGCUCAACUGGGCGGGGUCAGCGGAUACGGUGUGGCUAGAGCAAGCUAGGGGGCAAUGGAAUUCCCGGUGUAGUGGUGGAAUGCGUAGAUAUCGGGAGGAACACCAAUGGCGAAGGCAGCUCGCUGGGACGUUACUGACGCUGAGACGCGAAAGCGUGGGGAGCAAACAGG
rnacentral:rRNA from 1 species